rnacentral:rRNA from 1 species
GACGAACGCUGGCGGCGCGCCUAACACAUGCAAGUCGAACGAGCGAGGGAGAGCUUGCUUUCUCGAGCGAGUGGCGAACGGGUGAGUAACGCGUGAGGAACCUGCCUCAAAGAGGGGGACAACAGUUGGAAACGACUGCUAAUACCGCAUAAGCCCACGACCCGGCAUCGGGUCGAGGGAAAAGGAGCAAUCCGCUUUGAGAUGGCCUCGCGUCCGAGUAGCUAGUUGGAGUGGUAACGGCCCACCAAGGCGACGAUCGGUAGCCGGGAUCAGAGGUUGAACGGCCACACUGGGACUGGGACGCGGCCCAGAAUCCUACGGGAUGCAGCAGUGGGGAAUAUUGCACAACCGCGGAAGUCCUGAAGCAGCUACGACGCGUGGAGGAUGAAGGUCGUCGGAUUGUAAACUCCUGUUGUUGAGGAAGAUAAUGACGGUACUAAACAAGGAAGUGACGGCUAACUACGUG